UCGAAUUCUCCAGACUUCAGAGUCUUCCCAGGUCCCUGACUCUUCUCGACCUCGAAUUCUCCCAGCUUCGUCCAUUCAUUAACUGGCCGGCGUUCUUCUUUAUUUCAGCAACCAUUUCCAGCCUCCAGUCGUCUGGGGUUAGUCGGUCUCCAAAGUCAUUUCCCAUUUCAGCCAUGCCUGGCAAAGAUGAUGUCGGCUUCUCUGAGAAGGAGAAGAACCUCGAGCUCUUCCUCAAAGUCGGAUUGGACGAGUGCACGGCCAAAAACACCGUCGCCAACAUCAAAGUCACUGCCAACCUCACCAUCGUCAUUCACGAGGUUGCGGUUACUGAUGGAUGUAGUUGAACAAUUGGUAAUCUCCUCUACAAGGAUUUUCUUGCAGCGGCUAAGGAAGGAGGUAUGAUGGGGUGAUGUCGAUGUGCUUCGGUAAUUACAGAGUAAAGUGGGAUAUUGAAAAUUAAUCGAUUUCAUUGCUCCACUUCUAUAAUUUGCCUCCGGCGGCGCCCUCUUUGACUGGAAAUCUAGGAUACUGAAAAUUAGAAAGAAAAAAAAAAUGUACCCGUUGGACCUGUUCGGUUCUCAAUUUUAAAAUAGUAAAAUCCGUCCCAUUCUAUUUUCAA